CUGCGUCAACGAUCGAAGCGGAAAUCCUUUGCGAAGCAAAGAUUGAAGCGAAGAGCGUGGUCGGUU
rnacentral:sRNA from 1 species